CCCCUCUCAGGGUCACACCUGGAGAGUUUCCAGUACUCUACCAGUCUCGGCUACAGGAGGGAGGGUCAUGCAGAGGCCUGCCCAUUCCAUUCCUAGUUUGGGCAGUGGGUGAUGAGUGGAAGGCAAUCUGCUACAAGU